ensembl:ncRNA F17E5.5 ncRNA
GGCUACAUCUAAUUCCCACUCAUUACCCAUUCAGUGCGAGAAUUCGAACAAGAGACGUCGGCAUUUCAAGAGGAGCCGAGAAAAAAGAUGGACGUGGCCGGUUCGCGGAGCCACCCAUUUUGUUUUGGGACUCCAAUUUGAUUUUG